rnacentral:tRNA from 1 species
UACUGUGUAGCUCUGUUGGUAGAGCAUGGUGCUUGCAACGCUAGGAUAGUGGGUUUGAUUCCCGCUGCGGCCA